GUUUGUUUCUACAACACUGAUCAAAUUAAUGCUUCAACAUCACCUUCUUUUAUAGGUGCUCUUUCUAACGUUGAGAAGGUUUAACAGUCACUGCUGCUUAAACUGGGUCAGUGAAGGCAUCACGCAGAACUAAUAGUUUCCUGAGAGAGAUCAGUGGAGGAGAAAACACAACACUGACACCCACACACUUCACUGGCUCUCUGAUCACAUGGAAGAAGCUUUCUAACAGGGUGAGCAGAGAGGAAACCACAACACUGACACCGAGUCACAGAGGAGGAGGAGGAGGAAGAGGAUUUGAUGUGAGGAUGAACGGAGCAAACAGUGGGUCUGAUUUCAGCAGCAUCAGGAUGGAGGAAACAUCUCUGAUGCUGCUGCUCUGUAAGUACUGGACUCAUUUUACUCUGCUGUCUUCAUGAAUGUGAACGUUAAACUGAGCUGAGUUUCAUUCCUCUGCAGCUCUGAGCUCACUGCUGUGCUGCACCACAAACCAAGCUCGUCUGACCCUCAGUCCCAGCAGAUCUCAGCAUAUUUUUUAGACAAUAUGUUUCUGAGCUGUGAGGUCUCCACCCAGCUGAUUUCUAUUCACAGGUGAUUGGCUGACUGCCUGGAUUUCUCCAUCAGCUGCCUGGCAGUGUCAUUGCUCGUCCACGAUUGGCUGGCUCCUUAGCACAUACCUGGCUGUGCCAUCACCCGUCUGCAAUUGUUCUGCUCUGUCAUCACCCGCCUGUGAUCGGCCCAAUCGCCUGAUGUCCAACUGGAGCUCAACUCUUUAAGAUGGCUGCUGACCAUCAUUCAGGGCCGCUGUGAUCAUCCAGCACAGCUUGUCAUCUGCAGUCUUAGGACUUGGUGUUGCAGUGUGUAUUUAGGCUGAAUUGUGAUCAGUUUGACUUGUUUUGAUGAUUUUCUUUGAACAAGCUUGGUGUGGAUGCUUUUGCUUAUUGUGUUACAUUGUGGAUGGCUUUAAGUCUUUAGUAUAAUUUUGGUUAAUCUUGAAAUCUCUUGGUUAAGGUUGUUUGUUUUGUGUUUCAUUGCCUUUUGCUAUCAGAACUGUGUUCAU